rnacentral:rRNA from 1 species
UACGUAGGGUGCGAGCGUUAAUCGGGAUUACUGGGCGUAAAGUGUGCGCAGGCGGCCGCGCAAGUCGAGUGUGAAAUCCCCGAGCUUAACUUGGGAAUUGCGCUCGAAACUACGUGGCUGGAGUGUGGCAGAGGAAGGUGGAAUUCCACGUGUAGCGGUGAAAUGCGUAGAGAUGUGGAGGAACACCGAUGGCGAAGGCAGCCCCCUGGGCUAACACUGACGCUCAUGCACGAAAGCGUGGGGAGCAAACAGG